AUUGAACGCUGGCGGCAGGCCUAACACAUGCAAGUCGAGCGGCAGCGGGAAAGUAGCUUGCCACUUUUGCCGGCGAGCGGCGGACGGGUGAGUAAUGCCUGGGGAUCUGCCCAGUCGAGGGGGAUAACUACUGGAAACGGUAGCUAAUACCGCAUACGCCCUACGGGGGAAAGCAGGGGACCUUCGGGCCUUGCGCGAUUGGAUGAACCCAGGUGGGAUUAGCUAGUUGGUGAGGUAAUGGCUCACCAAGGCGACGAUCCCUAGCUGGUCUGAG
rnacentral:rRNA from 1 species